CCCCGCGGCGCUGCGCAAGCGCCAGGCAGCCCAACACGCAUGCGCUAGAGGGCGCGGCUCCGCGCACGGCGGCGGGAAGCGGCAGCGCGCAUGCGUCCGGAGGCGCGGCGGGGAAAACGGAUCGGUUAACGGCUAGGCGGGAUCGCUGAGAUAAUGAAGCACCGGCACGCAUCUUCUGGUAAAAUGGGGGAGACCCCUGGUAAGGGAUCAGCAAGAAAAGCCUUAAAAUCACAAAAUCAACAGGGCUCUUCCAGAAAAAAGAAGGGAACAGAUGGAGAAGGACGAAAGCAAGGUCAAAAAAGAAAGCAGGUUACUCAGACAGUCAAAG